CAGAGGGGGCAAGCGUUGUUCGGAAUUACUGGGCGUAAAGGGCGCGUAGGCGGCCUUCUAAGUCGAACGUGAAAUCCCUGGGCUCAACCCAGGAACUGCGUCCGAUACUGGGAGGCUUGAAUCCGGGAGAGGGAUGUGGAAUUCCAGGUGUAGCGGUGAAAUGCGUAGAUAUCUGGAGGAACACCGGUGGCGAAGGCGGCAUCCUGGACCGGUAUUGACGCUGAUGCGCGAAAGCCAGGGGAGCAAACGGGAUUAGAUACCCCGGUAGUCCUGGCCCUAAACGAUGAAUGCUUGGUGUGGCGGGUAUCGAUCCCUGCCGUGCCGAAGCUAACGCAUUAAGCAUUCCGCCUGGGGAGUACGGUCGCAAGGCUG
rnacentral:rRNA from 1 species